GAUGAACGCUGGCGGCGUGCCUAAUACAUGCAAGUCGAGCGAACGGACGAGAAGCUUGCUUCUCUGAUGUUAGCGGCGGACGGGUGAGUAACACGUGGAUAACCUACCUAUAAGACUGGGAUAACUUCGGGAAACCGGAGCUAAUACCGGAUAAUACUUUGAACCGCAUGGUUCAAAAGUGAAAGACGGUCUUGCUGUCACUUAUAGAUGGAUCCGCGCUGCAUUAGCUAGUUGGUAAGGUAACGGCUUACCAAGGCAACGAUGCAUACCCGACCUAGGAGCGUGAUCGGGCACACUAGAACUGAAACACGGUCCAGACUCCUACGGGAGGCAGCAGUAGGGAAUCUUCCGCAAUGGGCGAAAGCCUGACGGAGCAACGCCGCGUGAGUGAUGAAGGUCUUCGGAUCGUAAAACUCUGUUAUUAGGGAAGAACAUAUGUGUAAGUAACUGUGCACAUCUUGACGGUACCUAAUCAGAAAGCCACGGCUAACUACGUG
rnacentral:rRNA from 1 species